rnacentral:rRNA from 1 species
GACGAACGUUGGCGGCGUGCUUAAUACAUGCAAGUCAACUGAAGCAGUGGUAGCAAUAUCGCUGUGGAGGUGGCGCACGGGUGAGUAACACGUAGGUAAUCUGCCUUCAGGUCUGGCAUAACUCCGGGAAACCGGGGCUAAUAGCAGAUGAUGCAGCGGCUCGACAUCGAGACAGUUGUUAAAGCUAUGGCGCCUGAAGAUGAGCCUGCGUCUGAUUAGCUAGUUGGCGGGGUAACGGCCCACCAAGGCAACGAUCAGUAGCUGGUCUGAGAGGAUGAUCAGACACACUGGAACUGAGACACGGUCCAGACUCCUACGGGAGGCAGCAGUAAGGAAUAUUGCUCAAUGGGAGAAAUCCUGAAGCAGCAACGCCGCGUGAGGGACGAAGGGCUUUUGCUUGUAAACCUCUGUAGUGAGGGAAAAAAAUCCCAAUCUUUGGGACAUGAUGGUAUCUCAAAAGUAAGCCCCGGCUAACUACGUG